ACUCCUACGGGAGGCAGCAGUGGGAAUAUUGCACAAUGGGGGAAACCCUGAUGCAGCCAUGCCGCGUGUGUGAGAGGCCUUCGGGUUGUAAGCACUUUCAGUAGGGAGGAAGGUAGUGUAGUUAACACCUGCACUAUUUUGACGUUACCUACAGAAGAAGCACCGGCUAACUCCGUGCCAGCAGCCGCGGUAAUACGGAGGGUGCGAGCGUUAAUCGGAAUUACUGGGCGUAAAGCGCAUGCAGGCGGCCUGUUAAGUCAGAUGUGAAAGCCCGGGGCUUAACCUCGGAAUUGCAUUUGAAACUGGCAGGCUAGAGUCUUGUAGAGGGGGGUGAGAAUUUCAGGUGUAGCGGUGAAAAUGCGUAGAGAUCUGAAGGAAUACCAGUGGCGAAA
rnacentral:rRNA from 1 species